rnacentral:lncRNA from 1 species
GAGCUUUGGUGAAGCAAACAACCUUACAUGAUUUCUGUGGCCCUGCAGACUCCUGACUGAACUAACACAGUUGGGGAGAAUAAGCCGUAAAAAGGGGAGCUUUUCUGUCCUUUCACUUUGCACUGAUGCCCCAUCCAUCCUCCCUUUCUGCUUGCCAUGGUAAAUGGUGUCCGACGUAACACAGAUGCACUGUGCACUGGAGAGGCAGAGCAUCCUGCCUUCCACAGCCGUGCACACCAGUCCCUGUGCACAAGUGGCCACCCACCCAGCGAAUCGACGUGGUGUGCUUAUCAAAAUCUGUGUGUCUGUGGGCCAGAGCCAAAUCCAGACAGUUUUCGGCACACAGAGAGGCUGUGAGUUAGGACGGGGGUUUCUUGCCGUUGCCACCAUUCUCAUUGACACGUUAUGCUGCACACAGCAGAGCCCCAUCCUGAAUGCCCAGCGGUGCCCACAGCCAGGAGGAGCAUUCGAUGUGUGAUGACUCAUCUCGUGCAUCAGACGCUCUCUAAAGUUCCCACAGAUUAUACCAUGGCUUAGUGAGUGCGAUUCUAAGACAGUUCCAAAAGACUUUUCAAUCCGUGGGAGUUUCAAAGUGGAUUCUCAGACAAACAUGGGGAGGACUGAGGCAGGCUUGGACACGCACAGAAUCAGACAACGAUGGUCCGGAGUUCAAAUCCCUGCAACCACAUGGUGGCUCACAACCAACUGUAAUGAGAUCUGGCGCCCUCUUCUGGAGUGUCUGAAGACAGAUACAGUGUACUUACAUAUAGUAAAUAAAUAAAUCUUAAAAAAAAAAAAAA